ACGGAAGGCAGCAGUGGGGAAUAUUGGGCAAUGGGCGCAAGCCUGACCCAGCAACGCCGCGUGAAGGAAGAAGGCUUUCGGGUUGUAAACUUCUUUUAAGGGGGAAGAGGAGAAGACGGUACCCCUAGAAUAAGCCACGGCUAACUACGUGCCAGCAGCCGCGGUAUACGUAGGUGGCAAGCGUUGUCCGGAUUUACUGGGUGUAAAGGGCGCGUAGCCGGGGGAGCAAGUCAGAUGUGAAAUCUAUGGGCUUAACCCAUAAACUGCAUUUGAAACUGUUCUUCUUGAGUGCUGGAGGGGCAAUCGGAAUUCCUUGUGUAGCGGUGAAAUGCGUAGAUAUAAGGAGGAACACCAGUGGCGAAGGCGGAUUGCUGGACAGUAACUGACGGUGAGGCGCGAAAGUGUGGGGAGCAAACAGGAUUAGAUACCCUGGUA
rnacentral:rRNA from 1 species